AAGGAAUGUGUGGCCAAAAGUUUCUUAGGUUCUCCAGGUUUUCAAGGAGCAAGGUUUGGUUUUGGUAGCACUUUUGGGGCUGUCUGCAUUCUUUUCCAUGGCUGAGACUUCCAUUACGAUAUUAUGGCCAUGGAAGGCACGUGAGUCGGCCGAAAAGGAGUCUGAAAAUGGUGUGUUUCAAAUGCUUUGCAGUGAUGUUACUCGAUUUCUGAAUACUAGCAAAUGUUCCCUGUUCACUUUAAUUCUCUUGUACUAGCAAAUCUAGUAAUAGAUAUCUUAAAAAAGAUUGCAGCUGUGUAAUUUUUUUCAAUAUUCCAGAUCCCUUGAUUCUCA